GAUGAACGCUAGCUACAGGCCCCCCCCAUGCAAGUCGAGGGGAAACGACAUCAAAAGCUUGCUUUUGAUGGGCGUCAACCGGCGCACGGGUGAGUAACUCGUAUCCAACCUGCCCACCACUUGGGGAUAACCUUGCGAAAGUAAAACUAAUACCCAAUGAUAUCUCUAGAAAACAUCUGAAAAAGAUUAAAGAUUUAUCGGUGAUGGAUGGGGAUGCGUCUGAUUAGCUUGUUGGCGGGGUAACGGCCCACCAAGGCUACAAUCAGUAGGGGUUCUGAGAGGAAGGUCCCCCACAUUGAAACUGAAACACGGUCCAAACUCCUACGGGAGGCAGCAGUGAGGAAUAUUGGUCAAUGGACGAGAGUCUGAACCAGCCAAGUAGCGUGCAGGAUGACGGCCCUAUGGGUUGUAAACUGCUUUUAUAAGGAAAUAAAGUGAGAGUCGUGACUCUUUUUGCAUGUACCUUAUGAAUAAGGACCGGCUAAUUCCGUG
rnacentral:rRNA from 1 species